GUGGGGCUUCUGGGAGGUGACUGGAGCACGGGAGUAUAAUACUGGAUUUGUCCACUGAUAGGUUUAUAGCUGGGUGUGAUGUUAGCUGGUGAAGCCUGGUGGAAGAGGUGGCUCAUUGUGUGAGUGGCCUGGAAUGGAAUACAUCCCUCCUCUUCCCUUGAUGGCUGCUGCUUCCCACCUGCCAUGCCCCUCUGCCAUGCUGCCCUACCCUGGAGCCAACUGACUAUGAACUGAAACUUUUACAAACUGUUAGAAGGAAAUAACUGGAAUUCAGGUACUGAUGGACUUUCCUUAAUGUGCUGCCCAAAUAUUGUGGUAAAUACUGCAUGAGAUGCUGGGGAUCAAAGCCAAGACCUCAUACAUGCUUGGGCUCAGGAUGCAUGUGAUGACACUUCACGUUACGAAAUAGAAAACCAAGUGACUCUGUUUCAUGAUCCAUAAACCCCCUAACAAAAUCCCUCAGACACCAGGGAAAAAGCCGCCUUUGUGGUUCUAUUUUUAAUCUCUCUAUUUUUUAAUUCUCCUCAUUUCACCUUUAAAACUUCUCCUUGCUUCAAAUUUUUGAAUAUGCUCAAUUUACAAUGGCACUUGUAUUGCUAUUGCAAUGCCCUGCUAUUCCUAAAUAAAUAUAAUUAAUCCUUAGAGAAUCUUUCUGUCUGAUUGCUAUUUUGUUUAACAGCAGU
ensembl:lncRNA